GACAGGUGAGCCCAAGAUGGGACUUCAGCAAUUCUUAUAGCUGAUGGAGUGGUAAGGAGGACUGUGUAUGGUCCUUCCCACUUGGGGGUGAGGGACUUUGGGGAGAGGGACCUGAUAAGAACUGAGUCCCUGGGGGAGACUUUCUGCGUACUUUCGGGUGGCUGGGUAGGUUGGGGAAGAGAAGCGUUGGCAUGCUCCUGGAGGAGGCUUCGAAGGAGAGUGAAGUAAGGGAGGUAACUAUCUAGUGGUGUGGUUUCUGGCGGUGGAGGAGUUGAAAGUAGGAAGGGGCAGCCGUACAGCAGCUCAAACGGGCUAAGCUGUGAUGGGCCCCAGGGGCUUGCUCUCAACCUGGUGAGGGCGAUAGGAAGCAAGGUUACCCAGGAAAUUAGGAGGCCUUGACCUUUCAGUUUCUCUAUGAUGGGUCUGAUACCUAUACGGUGAGCUUUAGAGAUGGGAAAUUGAGGGCGGGAGAGAAAAUGAGGCGAGGAGUCUUUAAGGCGGAUCUGAACUGGCUGGUGGUGGGUAGCUACAGAUGGGUUGUUAAUGUCCCGGACCUGAGGGUGGACUCCGGGGAGGGUGGAGCUCAAGCAUGAGCUUGGUCAGAUGCUCCUUUAUUAGGCCAUUGGCCCAUUCCACCUUACCAGAGGACUGAGGAUGGUAGGCAGCGUGUAGCUUCCACUGAAUUCCUAGAGAGGUAGAAACAGCAUUAGUGACUUUGGAGAUAAAGGCUGGGCCAUUGUCUGACUGUAUGGUGGCCGGGAGUCCAAAGCGUGGGAUGAUGUCUUGAAUGAGAUGAGUGGCCACUGUCCCGGCAGACUCAGAGGCUGUGGGGACAGUGGCCACUCAUCUCAUUCAAGACAUCAUCCCACGCUUUGGACUCCCGGCCACCAUACAGUCAGACAAUGGCCCAGCCUUUAUCCCCAAAGUCACUAAUGCUGUUUCUACCUCUCUAGGAAUUCAGUGGAAGCUACACGCCGCCUACCAUCCUCAGUCCUCUGGUAAGGUGGAAUGGGCCAAUGGCCUAAUAA
rnacentral:lncRNA from 13 species